rnacentral:snRNA from 1 species
GUGCUUCCUUUGGUAGCACAUAUACUGAAUUGGAAUGAUACAGUGAAGAUUAGCACGGUCUUUGCACAAGGAUGACACACAAAUUUGUGACAUAAUAUUGUGUCCC